CCCUUUUUUUUCCUUCAAUUCGUCCCGAUCAAUUAAAAAUCCACCAAAAAUCUACUCCCGUCCCGAUCUGCCUCGGAUGGGGUGGUAAAUAUGAGCCAAAAAUAAAAUGAAAAAUAACCUGUCCCGAAAAGAAAUGGAAUGGGAGGUGGAAGAACCCUCCCACCCCUGAUCCUCCUCGUUUGCUUCCCUAUAUAUCCAUCUAUAAACUCCUAUGAAAACCCAUAUCCUUUUGUCCACGUGGCGAUAUCUAUAAACUCCUAUAAAAACCUAUAUCUUUUUGCUCACGUGGCGAUAUUAGCUUAAUUUGAUCUUUUGUGGGGCCUACCCGUCAUCUUAAAUUACCAUACUUAAUUGUUAUUUGUGUGGGCAUAUCAGUCAUCCUAAUUUACAUGGCCCAUAAGGCCCACUUGGCUUUUUUUUUUCUCAUCUUCUUCCAAUUUAAUUCAACAUGGGCCCUCAUGGCAAUUUUUUUUCUUCAUCUUUUUCCCAUUUAAUUCAGCCGGUUCCCAUUUAAUUGGUUUAAGUAACCGGUUCAUCUUUCAACCGGUUACGAUUAAACCCAUUACAUCUUCAACCCUAGCAUGUUCGCUACCUCCUAGAUGCCGCUCGCCCCCUAGAUGCCUCUCCGACUCCUGAUGUAUACAUCCUCCCUGGACGAAAAAUUAGGCUGAAUUCACUAUCGAUCCUUCUUCCCAUUGCGCUGUUUUUGAUAACGAUGCUUCAUUCCUACCGAUUGAUCCCUCUCCGAUCGCAAAAAUGGUUCAGAUUCAUUAUGUACGGUCUCUCCGACUUGUCGGAUAUCUAUAUUUGUUGAAUGCGAAGGGUUGUUUUAUGUUGAAUGUUGUCUCUAUAAAAUUUUUAUUUGCAGCAAAAAAUCUCUAUUUCUCUGUUGGUGCUCUUUUCUUCUCUGAUUUGAUUUUCAUCUUUUAUUUUUGUUUGAAUUUCAAUUUGGCUGUUAUUAUUUUUUAAAAAAAAAUAUUGAGUAAUUUUACUUUGUCUCAAAAAUUACCUCUAUCGAUAGCAUCAAGUUUUCCACCGUUAGAUUUAACCCUUUAACUAUUUUCACCCGUUAAAUUAUAUUAUUAAACCAAUAACUCAUUUAACUCUAGGGGGCCCACAUCAUCAUAACCGUACAUUUUUUUCAUCUAAGGGCUGAAAACCUAAUAGCACCAAUAGGUUGGUGCUAUUGAUAGUAUUCCAGUCUAUAUAUAUAUAUAUAUAUAGAGAGAGAGAGAGAGAGAGAGAGAGAGAAAGAGAGAGAGAGAGAGAGUUGAGCUAGAAUACUCUCAAAAGCACCAAGGGAGUNAAAUAUUUUUCUAAUUUAUUAAUAAUUAUAUCAAGUUUUUAAGAAUUUUUAAUUAAUUUUAGCAUGCAAAAUUAAAAUAGUUAAACUAAUAGUUGAUAAAAUAUCUACUCAAUUUAACAAAAUUUUUAACUAAUUUUACUACAACAAUUCCAAUAAAAAAUUAUAAACUAGGAAGUUUUAAUAAAAAAUAAAAGUUAACAUUUAUUUCAAAAUAGUCCGUAAAUAUUAGGGGGUAUCUUCAGACGUCUUUAUGCAAGCAAUACUAUUGCCUAAAUUUAAUUUAUUAUAUAAUCCGUAGAUAGGGAUGCAAAUGGAUCCGGAUUGGUGGAGCUCCCACCUCGAUCCAUUCUGAAUCGGUUGAUAAGUUGUAACAAAAAAAUAUAGAAAAAUAUAAUUCACUCCGAAUCUAUCCCGAUCCGCUAAGUAAAUGGAGCGGAAGGCGGGAGACCCUUUUCUUCCUUCAAUUCGCCCCGAUCAAUUAAAAAUCCACCAAAAAUCCGCUCCCGUCCCGAUCUGCCCCGGAUGGGAUGGUAAAUAGGAGCCAAAAAUAAAAUGAAAAAUAACCUGUCCCGAAAAGAAAUGGAGUGGGAGGUAGAAGAACCCUCCCGCCCCUGAUCUGCCUCGUUUGCUUCCCUAUCCAUCUAUAAACUCCUAUGAAAACCCAUAUCCUUUUGUCCAUGUGGCAAUAUCUAUAAACUCCUACAAAAACCUAUAUCUUUUUGCUCACGUGGCGAUAUUAGCUUAAUUUGAUCUUUUGUGGG
rnacentral:lncRNA from 1 species